GUCCCGCAGCAGGAAGACGCGCUGCGUGAUUGCGUGAUUGGCGCACGGCGUCGGCCCGCUAUGCCUACUGCGCAUGCCCUUUCCCACAAUGCACUCUGUUAUAGUGGUUGUAGGAGGUGCAGUCCCUGAGAAUGGAGUUUGUUGAGCUCUAAGUAAAGAGCAGUUACUGUGGGCUGUGCUGAAGAACCUGGCGCACAUGUGUCUUGGUUUGGGACUUGAGAAUCUUCCAAGAGCUGCAGAGGGUCCAGCCUGCAAUUGCAAUGGGCAUCGCCGCUGGGCUCCACAAGGGGCCCUCGGGCACGAAGGACAACGUGCUUAUGAAGUCCCAGGCAGAGCACUGAGGACAAGCCAGACUCGAGAGCAGGGCCAAGGCAAGAAUUUGGUGGCCAGAUACAGAGUAAGUACUCCAGCAAGCAUCAACAAACCUUUGCUGCGUUCAUAGAUGUGCAAAGAAAGGUAACAAAGACCCAGAACUCCAGCCGUAUCUGCCUGUGUCUGCACACUGGUGCUCACAGUUGAUGUUUUGACGCAGCUUCCACCGUGGACGCUCAGGAUUCGCACCCUCAGCUCCCAGCCACUCUGUUCAGGGCGCUCACUCAGAGCUUCCCUCUCAGGCGAGGGGUGUGCGCUUGUUGUACAUAGAGAGGCCCUGCGUUUGGUCUCCAGCACCAAAUAAAGGAAAAAACCUUCCUUUGUUCAAAAGACUGCAAAAGUGCAAACCAAGUGGGUUAAAAGUAUCAAUAAAUGACUCCCAGGAGACAUGAGGCUGAGGACACUUUUCCCAGAACUGCUUGUUUACACCUAGUCCCUGCCCAGUGAGGAUUGUUUCACGUGUGCAAAUUUUGAAGACUGGAUAUUGGCUCAUCAACGGUUUUGAUUCUGUAAAGAGAAAUUGGGAAGGGGGUUCCGGGACUGGCGGAUCGUGGAAUUUAGAAAGAGACUGUUUCUGUGAGUGAGGGGAGCUGCUAAGGAUUUGGGGACCAGAUGAAGACAAGGGCACACAGAAGGAGAGUCUGAAGGGAGAAAAGAUGAUGAGCGAGGAUUGGGCUGCUUCUCCUACGUCACCGGGCACUUUGAGCUUCGUGCAGGCCUCAUCUGACACUGACCUCUGCUGGGCUGGUUUCUGGCUGAUUCAUUCAUUCAGUGACUCGGUGGGUAUUUACUGUGCACCCGUAUGUCACUGCAUAAAUGCCAGAACUGGUGAGCAGACAGCCACGGAGCAACUGGCUUUGGCCAGGCCACUGGCUCGAAUCCACUCAUCAGUCACAGACAGGCAGCGAGCCCUGAACUCUAUGCCAGGAGCUAGGAGCAGCCCGGUGCGUGACAAAUUCUCAUGCAUUAGUUGCUCGUUAUUAAUGAAAGAUCACUUGGGCGUCACACUAGGAAUGCUGUUUUUAGGAGUCUAUUUUUCCUUCCCGUGACCUCUUCCCCAAUGCACACGCACCCCAGGUCACAUGAUUUACAGGCAGCUGGGCUCCCAGACACCACGCCACACCCCUUCCUUCUCUGCAAACCUUACCUGGGAGCCCCCCACUCCUUCCCAGCCUCACCCCCAUUCCAUUCAUGGUAGGGUUCCAGCUGUGGUUCCAAAGACGCAUUUCAUGCUCCUGCCUCUUACCCUCUGUCCAUUAAUGAGUCUUUUCGUUGGGUUUUCUUUUCUGCUCACGUGACUUUCUGUCCUUGACAUCUGAGGUACAAGUUACAAAUGGCUGGUCCAUCGUUAGGUGAUGAAUAGACUUUAAUUCAUUCUUAUCCCCUAACUGAUGGCUCUCAAAGGACUCAGCGCAAGAUUUACUUCUAUGUGAGCUGUGUCUACAGUUUUCUUCAAGCCUCCAGUCUCCGUUCACCCCCCUAGAGGGUGGAAAUCUCAUCAGUCCCUGCCAGCCUUGCUGGGGGGUUAAAAAGGUUAACGAGGCAACUUCCCAGCAGUUCCUGGAAAGCUGAGCAUGUACAAAUCUACUAUUGCAAGAUCGUUGAGGACUUUCGGUGGUUAUAAAAGAGCAGGUAUUUCCCUCAAGCUGUGGGAUGAGGAGUCUUAAUUUUAAUUUUUCAGGUUUUGGCAAGUUCACUUUCUUCUUUUCAGCAUUUUGCUCAGCGUGUUGUGAGUAUUUUGAUGGUGUGGAAUUCUGAAAGACUUGUGUUAAGUUAGGAUAUAUAAAUAUAAAUACAUGGCCGGGAAUACAGCUCAGUGCACAAGUGCAUGCCUGUGAGUUUGAUUCCUGGUUAAAAAGAAAAUCAUAUGUAUAUCCAUUACCUCAGCCAGGAGGGAGGGGUUGGCAAGGUCGAAGGGAGAUGCCAAGGCCUCAAGGCCAAAUUCCCUGCAAACGCCGCCCUGCCCAAGCCACAGCU